CAGCGAUUCUCGCGAGAGUUUCUGUUUUUUGCAGAUCUCAGAUCAGAUUUCUAGGUUUUCGGCUCCUUUCUAGGCAAGAGCUCUCAACGGCUCCAAAGAGUAGAGAAACAAAGAGAUAUAACUACGGUUGAGCUUCUUGCAGAGCUCGGCCUUGUCUUGUGUUCCCAGGUAGGCGUUCCUCUUGAAGGCCCUCUCCAGGCUGCUGAUCUGCUCCGCCGUGAAGGCCGUACGAGGCCUCCUCCCAGACAGAGGCGACGCUGGCGAGGUGGAGGAGCAGUCGGCGGUCGCCGUGGGGGAGACGGAGCGACCACCUUCACUCUCGUACCCUGAGGUCUCCUCCUCCGUCCCGCUACUGAAACCUGCUUCAGUCACUGCAGAGAGGAACAAAGAAGACAUCAUGUUAGACUGAUGGAAGUAUUCCUUUAAGUACUCAAACCACAUAGUAAAAAUACUCCCUCAGUACAAGUAUGUCAGUAUAAUGCUGCUAAAAGUAUUAAAAUAUUGACUUGUGCUUUUAUAUAUUCAAUCAUUAGAUUAUUAUUCCUCAUGCAUUAAUGUAAAAGCAGGAUUUUAAUGUUGGUUGAUCUGAGCUCAUUUUGAACUAUUAAUUAUUGAUUAUUUUCAUGAUGGAUUAAUCUGCUGAUUAUUUUCUCCAUGAAUCAAUCGAUUGUUUGAUUGGAAAAAAUUGUGAAAAUAACAAAAAUGGUGUCAGCCCAAAGUGAGAACUUCACAAUGUUUGUUUUGUUAUUAAAAAUACAUUCAAGAAAA